GUGCCCAUUUUGGCAGCACACAUACUAAGAUUGGAAAGAUACAGAGAAGAUUAGCAUGCCCCUGUGCAAGGAUGACAAGCAAAAGUGAGAAAUUAUUUAAAAAAAU
rnacentral:snRNA from 1 species